UCUGGCCAGAUGCCUAAAACCAGUUGUCCAUCACUAGAUGCCUAACUCCUCUUUUUUGGCCCAAGCUCUCAUGAAUUUAUUCUUGGAAAGCUUCCCCCCUCCCCCCGCAAAAAUCUCAUACUAGGUGGAGUUGGACGGUAUUUAUAUAAUAGUCUUUCUUUAUCUACUAUUUUGAUGUGAGAUUUGGAUUUCUUAUUUACUUAAAAAAUAUUCCUCUCAAACUAGUGACCACAAAACUUUAGCUUUUCUACCAAUUUUUUUAUGAUGAAUCAAAUGCUCUAAUACAGCUAUAUGUCUGUCACCAUAUGUCCAACUUAUUGUUAAGUAUGAUAUUUGUAGCGUCCUGACCGUCCACGGCUAAUGAACCUCCCACGCCUGUUCUUUCGGCCAGUGGGCCCCAUUAUGUGAGACAGGCAGUACGUUAAUUUUUUGAAAGCUCUUUGUUUACUGACCUUGCAAUCACCACAUGACAUUUCCCGUGCUUUAGCCUCAUUCGCACGAUAU
rnacentral:lncRNA from 1 species